rnacentral:rRNA from 1 species
CCUACGGGAGGCAGCAGUGAGGAAUAUUGGUCAAUGGACGGAAGUCUGAACCAGCCAUGCCGCGUGCAGGAAGACGGCUCUAUGAGUUGUAAACUGCUUUUGUUCAAGGGUCCACCUGAAUACGUGUAUUCAGCUGUAAAUACUGUACGAAUAAAGAUCGGCUAACUCCGUGCCAGCAGCCGCGGUAAUACGGAGGAUCCAAGCGUUAUCCGGAUUUAUGGGGUUUAAAGGGUGCGUAGGCGGAUUGAUAAGUCAGAUGUGAAAUGUCCGGGCUUAACUCGGGAACUGCCUCUAAUACUGUUGAUCUAGAGAGUAGACACGGUAGGCGGAAUGUAUGGUGUAGCGGUGAAAUGCUUAGAGAUCAUACAGAACACCGAUUGCGAAGGCAGCUUACCAAGCUAUAUCUGACGUUGAGGCACGAAAGCGUGGGGAGCAAACAGGAUUAGAUACCCUAGUAGUC